rnacentral:rRNA from 1 species
UACGUAGGGUGCGAGCGUUGUCCGGAAUUACUGGGCGUAAAGAGCUCGUAGGUGGUUUGUCACGUCGUCUGUGAAAUUCCGGGGCUUAACCUCGGGCGUGCAGGCGAUACGGGCAAUACUUGAGUGCUGUAGGGGAGACUGGAAUUCCUGGUGUAGCGGUUAAAUGCGCAGAUAUCAGGAGGAACACCAAUGGCGAAGGCAGGUCUCUGGGCAGUUACUGACGCUGAGGAGCGAAAGCAUGGGUAGCGAACAGGAUUAGAUA